AGAUGUAAUUUAAAUAAGAACAAAAACGUUUCUCACCAUCCCAUUAAACUCCUUUUGCCUUGAUACGGAUCCUGUAAGAUCCACCUUCAACUAACUCUUCUACCUCCAGUUUCUUGAUUUUUUUUUAUAAUGGUUUUUCUUUUAGAAAUAAAUAUUCUGCUAAUGAAGCAUAUACAGUACGCUGCUAGGUCUACGGGAAGGGAGUAACCUCAUCCCUCUUUCUGUAGCUCCUCUCCUCUCUUUCAUCUGCCUGUUCUCACAGCCAGCCACGCCUCAUUCAUUUUAAAAAGUUCUAGUGAAAAAAAUCAGCUGUACAGUAAAUUAUACAGUGCUAUUCUAAAUAUGAAUUAGGAAGACUGAAGAAAAUUACCCAUUUUAGGUAUAAGUAUGCUUUUGUAGGAUGUUGGAUUAAAAUAAUGGAACAAGACAUAAGGGACUGAGAAGGGAGUAGAGGAAAGUUAAACAUCCCGCAGCCGAGAUUUACCAAUAGCCCCGCCCCUGCCACGCCCUCUGGGCCUGCCCGCCCAACCAGCGCAGCCUCUCCACAGCCCUCAGAGACACACGCGAGCCCUACCCCACUCACGCUCGGGCCCGCCCACCCUCAGGCUAGCGGGUCCGAGACUGCCGGCUGCGGCUCCACCUUCCCGGCCGUUUUGGACCUCACCCUCUCCUCCAUCUCUUCAGAGAGAAACUAAAAUUUCUCCUUCAGGCUGGACGAGGAAGGGACGAGUCCUUCCCUAAACCUGAAGGCACGAGACCUCGCGUCCGCUCUCCGGCGGUCCCUAGUCCGGAAGCGGAAGUGCGUUGGAGUCCUUCGGGGCUGGCACAGCGCGGCGUGACGCGGUGGCGGCGACUCACCGGCCUGCAGCUCCGCCUCCCAGCGGGCGCCUCUGGCCCAGAACUUGCUCUGCGGUAUCCGAGUCUGGCCGACAACAUCGCCGUCCUGCGGGACCGGAGGCCCAGAGGUCCAGUCCGGAGUCUGCAGCGCAGGAGUGCGGUGACACCCAGCCCCAUUCCUCACCUGAUGUGCAGGAGGAGCAUCUAUAUGCCCUGGCCUGCAUCUCACGAAACAUGACUGUGUAUUAAUAAUUACCGUUUCAUUUCAAAUGGUGUGAAAUGAAACAGCUUGCAGCUUGAAAGGUAGGGCAGGGUCUGCACUUGCAAAUUAAUUUGAGUGACUUGUCAAAUUUAUUUUAAAAAUUGAAGGAAUGAGCAAGAUGUAUCUGUAUGCAUAGCCAUAUAAAUUUUUUUUUUGUUUUGUGUUUGGUGACUGACAAAUUGUGAUUCCUAAGCUUAUGCUCUCUUAGCUUCGUUUUGCCUCAAUUCUUUUUUUCCGUUUUUUUCU
rnacentral:lncRNA from 1 species